rnacentral:rRNA from 1 species
CCUACGGGCGGCAGCAGUGAGGAAUUUUGGUCAAUGGACGCAAGUCUGAACCAGCCAUGCCGCGUGCAGGAAACGGGCUCUAUGAGGUGUAAACUGCUUUUGGACGAGGGUAAAUCCCGAUACGUGUAUCGGGUGGAAAGUAUAGUUCGAAUAAGGAUCGGCGAACUCCGUGCCAGCAGCCGCGGUAAUACGGAGGAUUCAAGCGUUAUCCGGAUUUAUUGGGUUUAAAGGGUGCGUAGGCGGUACGAUAAGUUAGAGGUGAAAGCCCGGGGCUCAACUCCGGCACUGCCUGUGAUACUGGCGAGCUAGAGUUUAGUUGCGGUAGGGGGAAUGUAUGGUGUAGCGGUGAAAUGCAUAGAUAUCAGACAGAACACCGAUUGCGAAGGCAGCUUACCAAACUACGACUGACGUUGAGGCACGAAAGCGUGGGGAGCAAACAGGAUUAGAUACCCUUGUAGUC